CGAACGCUGGCGGCGUGCUUAACACAUGCAAGUCGAACGGUGAAGCGCCUUCCUUUUUGGUGGGUGUGGAUGAGUGGCGACCGGGUGAGUAACACGUGAGUAACCUGCCCCCUUCUUCUGGAUAACCGCAUGAAAGUGUGGCUAAUACGGGAUAUUCUGGGUCUGUCGCAUGAUGGGUCUGGGAAAGAUAUUGUUUCGGUGGGGGAUGGGCUCGCGGCCUAUCAGCUUGUUGGUGGGGUGAUGGCCUACCAAGGCGGUGACGGGUAGCCGGCCUGAGAGGGUGGACGGUCACACUGGGACUGAGACACGGCCCAGACUCCUACGGGAGGCAGCAGUGGGGAAUAGUGCACAAUGGGCGCAAGCCUGAUGCAGCGACGCCGCGUGAGGGAUGGAGGCCUUCGGGUUGUGAACCUCUUUCGCCAGUGAAGCAGGCCUGCCUCGUUUGUGGGUGGGUUGACGGUAGCUGGAUAAGAAGCGCCGGCUAACUACGUG
rnacentral:rRNA from 1 species